CAGCUUUAUGAUGAUCGCAAACUCAGGCUACUGGCAGGCUGGACUACAGAAAACACAUGAACAGGCAGACAGGGGAAGAGGUGACGUUGCUCUACACCUAAAAAUCGUGGCUUGAAGAAUAUGGCAUUAAAAUAAACAGAAAUUGAAGAAUCUGAUUAUGCAGACAAUAACAAAUUGUCUGCCCCAACUCUGAAUUGUGAAAAAUUCAAUGUCUAAGGCUUCAUAAUAUUUGAGAUGCUUACUAACAUGUUAUUUCAAGGAAGAAGUAUUUGAGGUACCUCUUCCAUCGGAUCUACAAAGUUUGGUAAUACUGGAAAAGUCUGUAUCGAUUGAUUGCCCACAGAUUUUUGUCCUUGAACCCCAAGAGGAAAAGAAAAUAUGAAAGUUUAUAAAAAG